rnacentral:lncRNA from 1 species
UUUUCUCUAGAUUUUCAAUUCAUGACUCCAUUGUUGUUCUUGUAGUAACCAUUCAGACCCCAAGAAUCGUAGGCUCUGAAUAUUCACUUUAUUAAAGAAAAACAUAGUGCAUAUAUGAGGAAAAGAAAUACAGAUUUGUAAGCAAGAAAAAAAAGUAUUCCUAGACAAUUAGAGAGUUUCUAGUCUCUCCCAAUUCCCAGCCAAUUCCAACCCCCUUUCCUCCACUCUCAUUCCACGCCUUAUACCCAUACAACAAAUUUUCUCCUCUCCUAAUGUGUCAGCUCAGCAGUUUGUUACAUGGAAUUCUUCUCAUUCUCUCUCUUGUCAUUUUGAUCCCCUAC